GAGAAUGACAGAGUCAAGAGUAUCUUCGGAAUUCUUCGAAGAUUCCUCUACGGAGGACGCCAGAUCUUUCGCCCAGUCGUGCCAUUUCCAAACCUCCGAUAGAGAAGUUGCGUGCGACGGCGUCCUAAGGUAUAGCGGUGUCUUGGGAGUUAUGCUGAGAGACUUAGUCGGCCGAGAGGAUUUUGACUCUGUAAGCGACGUGUAUUGCGGUGGUUUUUUCGCCGGAGAAGAUGAGCAAAGAGGUUUAGCGGCAGAGAGCAAAGAG